UUGCAAACGCUCAAAACGACAUCGGAAGAAUUGCGGCUUGUCCGCAGUUCGACCUCAGUCUCGUUCGUCUGCAUCUAUUAACAGUGUGAAAUACCGAAUUGCCCUUCUGUCGAAAGAAACCCCUCCCUUUUUCUACACCUAUCGGCUUGCAUUGCAGAGCUCCUUUUUCUUCCUUCUCUCCCUCAAAUUUUUACUUUGUAGCUUUCUCCGAUUCCUCGAUCGGACGACCACUUUUACCACCCAUGACUCUGAUGACUCCUCCACCAUUAGAUCAGCAAGAGGACGAUGAGAUGCUAGUCCCACACAACGACUUAGUUGAUGGUCCGCAACCUAUGGAAGUAGCACCAGCAGAAACAGCAAGUGCAGUUGAUGCGCAGUCAGUGGAUGAUCCACCAUCAGCAAGGUUCACGUGGACGAUUGAUAGUUUUUCAAGGCUCAAUAGCAAGAAGCUCUAUUCUGAUAUUUUUGUUGUUGGAGGCUAUAAAUGGCGGAUUCUGAUUUUCCCAAAGGGAAACAAUGUGGAUCAUUUGUCCAUGUAUCUGGAUGUUGCAGAUUCUGCAACUUUGCCAUAUGGGUGGAGUAGAUAUGCGCAGUUCAGCUUGUCUGUUGUCAAUCAAAUUCAUCAAAAAUACUCAAUCCGGAAAGACACGCAGCACCAAUUCAAUGCACGGGAGAGUGAUUGGGGCUUCACUUCAUUCAUGCCUCUCGGGGAAUUGUAUGACCCUGGAAGAGGUUAUCUUGUUAAUGACACAUGCAUAGUUGAAGCUGAUGUUGCUGUCCGUAGGGUCAUUGAUUAUUGGUCUCAUGAUUCCAAAAAGGAGACAGGUUAUGUUGGACUUAAGAACCAAGGAGCUACCUGUUACAUGAACUCUCUCCUUCAGACAUUGUACCAUAUUCCUUAUUUCAGAAAGGCUGUGUAUCAUAUGCCGACAACUGAGAAUGAUAUGCCAUCUGGGAGCAUUCCUCUGGCUUUGCAGAGUUUGUUUUAUAAGCUUCAAUACAGUGACACCAGUGUAGCAACAAAAGAGUUGACAAAGUCUUUUGGCUGGGACACAUAUGAUUCUUUCAUGCAGCAUGAUGUGCAAGAACUUAAUAGGGUUCUUUGUGAGAAGCUUGAAGAUAAAAUGAAGGGAACAGUUGUGGAGGGCACAAUACAACAGUUAUUUGAAGGACACCAUAUGAAUUAUAUUGAAUGCAUCAAUGUGGACUAUAAGUCGACAAGAAAGGAAUCAUUUUAUGAUCUUCAGCUUGAUGUCAAAGGCUGUCGAGAUGUUUAUGCUUCUUUUGACAAAUAUGUGGAGGUGGAACGCCUUGAGGGUGAUAAUAAAUAUCAUGCUGAGCAACAUGGGUUACAGGAUGCUAGGAAGGGUGUCCUAUUUAUUGACUUUCCUCCUGUUCUUCAACUUCAGUUGAAACGAUUUGAGUAUGAUUUUAUGCGGGAUACCAUGGUAAAGAUAAAUGAUCGCUAUGAGUUCCCUUGGCAACUUGAUCUUGAUAGAGAGGAUGGUAGAUAUUUAUCUCCUGAGGCAGAGAGAAGCGUCCGCAACCUGUACACUCUACACUCUUCACAGGUUUAAGUUUGAUGAUGAGCGGGUAACAAAGGAAGAUAUGAAAAGGGCGCUAGAGGAGCAGUAUGGUGGUGAGGAAGAGCUUCCACAGACCAAUCCUGGUUUUAACAAUGCUCCCUUUAAGUUCACAAAAUACUCAAAUGCGUACAUGCUUGUGUAUAUACGUGAAAGUGACAAGGACAAGAUAAUUUGUAAUGUUGAUGAAAAAGACAUCGCUGAACACCUGAGGAUUAGGUUGAAAAAAGAACAAGAAGAGAAGGAAGACAAGAGAAGAUAUAAAGCACAAGCCCACCUUUAUACCAUCAUAAAGGUUGCACGAGAUGAGGACCUUAAAGAGCAGAUUGGAAGGGAUAUAUAUUUUGACCUUGUGGAUCAUGACAAAGUCCGUAGUUUCCGUAUCCAGAAGCAGACUCAAUUUAGUCUUUUUAAGGAAGAGGUUGCAAAAGAAUUUGGUAUACCAGUACAACUUCAGCGAUUUUGGAUAUGGGCAAAGCGUCAGAAUCAUACAUAUCGUCCCAAUCGACCACUAACAGCUCAGGAGGAAGUGCAAUCAGUUGGACAGCUGAGGGAAGUGUCGAAUAAAGCACACAAUGCAGAAUUGAAGUUGUUCUUGGAAAUAGAGCUUGGACUGGAUUUUCGUCCUAUUGCUCCGCCUGAAAAAACUAAGGAAGAUAUUCUUCUUUUCUUCAAGCUUUAUGAUCCUGAGAAAGGAGAAUUGCGAUAUGUUGGUAGGCUUUUUGUAAAGACUAAUGACAAGCCAACAGAAAUUUUGACAAAAUUAAAUGAGAUGGCUGGCUAUGCUCCUGAUGAAGAGAUUGAACUUUAUGAGGAAAUUAAGUUUGAGCCAAGUGUAAUGUGUGAACCAAUUGACAAGAAAUCAACUUUUCGAGCUAGUCAGCUUGAAGAUGGAGACAUUAUUUGCUUUCAGAGAUCUCCCUUAGUUGAAACCGAUGAACAAUUCCGCUGUACUGAUGUUCCUUCGUUUUUGGAAUAUGUGCACAAUCGUCAAGUUGUUCACUUUCGGUCUCUGGAAAAGCCCAAGGAAGAUGAUUUCUGUCUGGAGUUGUCAAAGCUUCAUACGUAUGACGAUGUUGUUGAAAGAGUGGCUCAGCACAUUGGUUUAGAUGAUCCAUCCAAAAUAAGACUGACAUCUCACAACUGUUAUUCUCAGCAACCCAAACCCCAGCCUAUUAAGUACAGGGGGGUUGACCAUUUGUCUGAUAUGCUGGUCCACUACAAUCAGAUUUCUGACAUAUUGUACUAUGAAGUAUUAGACAUCCCUCUGCCAGAACUACAAGGUUUGAAAACUCUGAAAGUAGCAUUUCAUCAUGCUACCAAGGAUGAAGUGGUUAUUCAUACAAUUAGAUUACCAAAACAGAGCACUGUAGCAGAUGUAAUUAAUGAUCUUAAAACAAAGGUGGAGUUAUCUCAUCCUAAUACGGAACUCAGGUUGCUUGAAGUUUUCUAUCACAAGAUUUACAAGAUCUUUCCCCCCAAUGAAAAAAUUGAAAAUAUAAAUGACCAGUACUGGACAUUGCGUGCAGAAGAGGCAAGUCCUUUUUCCAUAUUUCUCAUUUUGUUCUUAGGAUUGUUGAAUUCUGUCCUUUUUACGUGUUCUGUUGUCUUGAAUCUGGCUACCUGUUAUUGCCUCUCAUAUUUUCCACCAAACAUACUCUAUAGGAUCAUUAAAUACAGGUGCAAGUUUGAACUUAGAGGGCAUGGAUGUGUAAGCACGUCCAUGUGCGUCUUACUCUUGUGUAUAUAUAGGUGCAGGUUGGAAAUGGCCCUUAAGUAUGUGUUUGAGUGUGUGUGUAAGCGAGUUUUGGGAGAUUUCAUUUGAAGGUGCUUAUUGCAUAAAAUUGUAGCACCUCUACUUUAAUGCCCAAAGUGUAUUGAAGCAUAGUUUCAAUCACCAAUUGAUGAUUGAAAACUGAUGUCAUUUCGUGUAUGUGCAUGUGUGUGUAAUUUUGCUUGCUUAUUUGGAUUAUAUUGGUAGAAGUGAUUGCCUUUUUUGUCAUUUCUUCUCUUGUCUCAGUAAUUUGUUUUUGAUGUUUAUACAAUGGAGCUAUUGUGAUGUUGAAAAUCUGAUAUUUUGGAACUACGGGAAUUCCCCCCAACUCGCAUCAUUUCUCUUUCCCUCUCCAAAUUCAUCAAUAUCAUUUUUUUUUUAAUGAUUAUUUUAGAUAACGAAACUUAACUGAAUUUCAUUAGUUCUGAAGCUUGUACUUGGGAAACAUUGCAUCCAUUUUCCAGUUUGGAAGAGCUGAAUUAUGUUGGCCAACUCAAAUUUUCCCGUAUGGAGUUGUAGUUUAUCUUUGCUAUUGCAUUUUAUUAUAAUUUCUUUUUGCAGUGGCAUUUUAAAAUUAGCUGGCUUAUGGCAUUUAUGUUAUAGGCAUGAAUAUGUAGUUUUCACUUUUCAAGUUCCAAGAGAAUUUAGCAAAUGCCAAAUAGUGUAGGCUGACAUGCAGGAAAUAUUGUUUCUGUUGCUUACCAAUUCUAGGGAUGUUUAAGCAAAUAUUUAAUUUUACAAUAAGCUAGCAUCUCCUCCUUUCUGUCCACAGAUCCCAGAGGAAGAGAAGAAUCUUGGACCCCAUGAUCGCUUGAUUCAUGUUUAUCACUUUACAAAGGAGACGACUCAGAAUCAAAUGCAAGUGCAGAAUUUUGGGGAGCCAUUUUUCUUGGUUAUCCAUGAAGGUGAAACUUUAGCUGAAGUUAAAGCACGCAUACAAAAGAAAUUGCAGGUUUCUGAUGAGGAAUUUGCUAAGGUAUCUUUAAAUAUAACCCUUCUUUCGCUGCACGAACAUGUGCAUGCAAGGCAGGGAAGACACAAUAUGUAGUUUAUGCUACUUGGCAUCUAAGUAAUUAUUGUGCAUUAAUUUGUGAAUUUAUUUUUGUUUCUUUUGUGGAUGGUGCAUAUCUUUUGCAUUAAUUUUUGAAUUUUUUUUUUAUAGACAUUGCAUAUCUUUCAAUUACUAACUGAGUUUCCAUCUCUUUGUUGGUCAGUGGAAAUUUGCAUUUCUGUCUCUAGGUCGUCCAGAGUAUCUGCAGGAUUCUGACAUAGUAUUUACCCGUUUUCAGGUGCUUCUGAGAUUUUUCCUCCCUGUAGAUUUUUGUAGUCAAAGUUUUUAAAUAGUCUGGUGAUUGUUUGAGGUUAAUUGCUUGGUGUUAAAUCAAAUAUGUGUAUUUAUUUUUUUCUAGAGAAGAGAUGUUUAUGGUGCUUGGGAGCAGUAUCUAGGAUUGGAGCACUCUGACAGUGCUCCUAAGAGAGCUUAUUCAACUAACCAGGUAAUCAGCUGGUGCUUCUACUUUGAUCUACGAUGGUGGUGUGAUUUUGUUGAACUUUUAAUUUUCUUGUUGGUCUUUGUUUUCCUUGCGGCAGCUUAGUAUUUCUUUUGAAUGUUCUAUUUGUUUUCCUUUGAACCAGAUGCUUACAACUAAUAACAUCAUUGAACUUUUGCAGAAUCGCCACACCUAUGAGAAGCCGGUUAAAAUCUACAAUUAGUAAAUUUUAAGAAGAGAAUUUCCUUCGAAUGUUGGAUGAGCCAAGUAACAAUGAACACUUUUUGUCUGUAAAAAUGGGGAGAAAUUGUGAACAGAUACACUGUGAAGGUGGCAUGUUAAGCUGCACAUUUAGACGAGUUUUGGUAUUUGCUGUUGUAUGUAAUUCUGCACUAGCGUGAAUGGGAAGGAGCAUGUAUCUGAAAAUGUCGAUCACAGCUAUCAGACAUGUACUUCUGGGAUAGUUCAGUGGCCUUUGGCUUUCAGUCUAGUGUAAUUUAACAGUAUAUAUUACAAGAUUUUGGGUUAGUGAAUGUAUACAGGGUAUAGUUGGGUGAUCUUUAUCCUUUUGGCCUUGUUCACCUGAUUUUCUUCAGGUAGAUGCGAGCAGUGAAAUGAGGAUUCAGUCGUGAUAGGUAUCUAAGCCUGUUUCUUUCUUCAUUUCCAUUCUUUUUGACAAAAAGGAACUGUUCUGCACCCUUGAUUUCUUACUGGGACUUGCAGUCUUGGCGACUUAUUUUUGGGCUGUAAAGAAUAUUUUGGUUGGUCAAUAAUACAAUGCCAGCUUCCUAAAUGAUUAUGGUUAAGCUGUGUACAGAUAUGUAGAUAUUCAAAUGAGUUUGCUUUUUGUUGG
rnacentral:misc_RNA from 1 species